UUGGUUAAGUUAGAAAGGGCGCACGGUGGAUGCCUUGGCACUAGGAGCCGAAGAAGGACGGGACUAACACCGAUAUGCUUUGGGGAGCUGUACGUAAGCGUUGAUCCAGAGAUUUCCGAAUGGGGGAACCCACUAUCUUUAGUCGGAUAGUAUCCUUACGUGAAUACAUAGCGUGAGGAAGGCAGACCCAGGGAACUGAAACAUCUAAGUACCUGGAGGAAGAGAAAGAAAAAUCGAUUUCCUGAGUAGCGGCGAGCGAAACGGAAAGAGCCCAAACCAAGAAGCUUGCUUCUUGGGGUUGUAGGACACUCUAUACGGAGUUACAAAAGAAAGUUAUAAAUGAAGCGGUCUGGAAAGGCCCGCCAAAGACGGUAACAGCCCGGUAGUUGAAAUGGCUUUCCCUCCAGAGUGGAUCCUGAGUACGGCGGAACACGUGAAAUUCCGUCGGAAUCCGGGAGGACCAUCUCCCAAGGCUAAAUACUCCCUAGUGACCGAUAGUGAACCAGUACCGUGAGGGAAAGGUGAAAAGCACCCCGGAAGGGGAGUGAAACAGUUCCUGAAACCGUGUGCCUACAAGUAGUUAGAGCCCGUUAAUGGGUGAUAGCGUGCCUUUUGUAGAAUGAACCGGCGAGUUACGAUUUGUUGCAAGGUUAAGCGGAAAAAGCGGAGCCGUAGCGAAAGCGAGUCUGAAUAGGGCGCAUAAGUAACAGGUCGUAGACCCGAAACCAGGUGAUCUACCCAUGUCCAGGAUGAAGGUAAGGUAAUACUUACUGGAGGUCCGAACCCACGCACGUUGAAAAGUGCGGGGAUGAGGUGUGGGUAGCGGAGAAAUUCCAAUCGAACUUGGAGAUAGCUGGUUCUCUCCGAAAUAGCUUUAGGGCUAGCCUCGAGGUAAAGAGUCAUGGAGGUAGAGCACUGUUUGGACUAGGGGCCCUUCUCGGGUUACCGAAUUCAGAUAAACUCCGAAUGCCAUGUACUUAUACUCGGGAGUCAGACUGCGAGUGAUAAGAUCCGUAGUCGAAAGGGAAACAGCCCAGACCACCAGUUAAGGUCCCCAAAUAUAUGUUAAGUGGAAAAGGAUGUGGGGUUGCUUAGACAACCAGGAUGUUGGCUUAGAAGCAGCCACCAUUGAAAGAGUGCGUAAUAGCUCACUGGUCGAGUGACCCCGCGCCGAAAAUGUACCGGGGCUAAACAUAUUACCGAAACUGUGGAUGAACCUCUUUAGAGGUUCGUGGUAGGAGAGCGUUCUAAGGGCGGUGAAGUCAGACCGGAAGGACUGGUGGAGCGCUUAGAAGUGAGAAUGCCGGUAUGAGUAGCGAAAGAAGGGUGAGAAUCCCUUCCACCGAAUAUCUAAGGUUUCCUGAGGAAGGCUCGUCCGCUCAGGGUUAGUCGGGACCUAAGCCGAGGCCGAUAGGCGUAGGCGAUGGACAACAGGUAGAGAUUCCUGUACCAGUGCUAAUUGUUUAACCGAUGGGGUGACACAGAAGGAUAGGGAAUCGCACGAAUGGAAAUGUGCGUCCAAGCAGUGAGUGUGAGAAGUAGGCAAAUCCGCUUCUCGCGAAGCAUGAGCUGUGAUGGGGAAGGAAAUUAAGUACGGAAGUUCCUGAUUUCACGCUGUCAAGAAAAGCCUCUAGGAAGAGUAGUACUGCCCGUACCGCAAACCGACACAGGUAGAUGAGGAGAGAAUCCUAAGGUGAGCGAGAGAACUCUCGUUAAGGAACUCGGCAAAAUGACCCCGUAACUUCGGGAGAAGGGGUGCUCUAUUAGGGUGCAAGCCCGAGAGAGCCGCAGUGAAUAGGCCCAGGCGACUGUUUAGCAAAAACACAGGUCUCUGCAAAACCGUAAGGUGACGUAUAGGGGCUGACGCCUGCCCGGUGCUGGAAGGUUAAGAGGAGUGCUUAGCUUCGGCGAAGGUACGAAUUGAAGCCCCAGUAAACGGCGGCCGUAACUAUAACGGUCCUAAGGUAGCGAAAUUCCUUGUCGGGUAAGUUCCGACCCGCACGAAAGGCGCAACGAUCUGGGCACUGUCUCAACGAGAGACUCGGUGAAAUUAUAGUACCUGUGAAGAUGCAGGUUACCCGCGACAGGACGGAAAGACCCCGUGGAGCUUUACUGCAACCUGAUAUGGAAUGUUUGUACCGCUUGUACAGGAUAGGUAGGAGCCGAAGAGACGUGUGCGCUAGCAUACGAGGAGGCAAUGGUGGGAUACUACCCUGGCUGUAUGACCAUUCUAACCCGCCACGCUUAGCGCGUGGGGAGACAGUGUCAGGUGGGCAGUUUGACUGGGGCGGUCGCCUCCU
rnacentral:rRNA from 1 species